AGUGAACGCUGGCGGUAGGCCUAACACAUGCAAGUCGAACGGCAGCACAGUAAGAGCUUGCUCUUACGGGUGGCGAGUGGCGGACGGGUGAGGAAUACAUCGGAAUCUACUCUUUCGUGGGGGAUAACGUAGGGAAACUUACGCUAAUACCGCAUACGACCUACGGGUGAAAGCAGGGGAUCUUCGGACCUUGCGCGAUUGAAUGACCCGAUGUCGGAUUAGCUAGUUGGCGGGGUAAAGGCCCACCAAGGCGACGAUCCGUAGCUGAUCUGAGAGGAUGAUCAGCCACACUGGAACUGAGACACGGUCCAGACUCCUACGGGAGGCAGCAGUGGGGAAUAUUGGACAAUGGGCGCAAGCCUGAUCCAGCCAUACCGCGUGGGUGAAGAAGGCCUUCGGGUUGUAAAGCCCUUUUGUUGGGAAAGAAAAGCAGCAGGUUAAUACCCCGCUGUUCUGACGGUACCCAAAGAAUAAGCACCGGCUAACUUCGUG
rnacentral:rRNA from 1 species